rnacentral:rRNA from 1 species
ACGGAGGGUGCAAGCGUUGUCCGGAAUCACUGGGUGUAAAGGGUGUGUAGGCGGGACAGUAAGUCAGAGGUGAAAUCCCACGGCUCAACCGUGGAACUGCCUUUGAUACUGCUGUUCUUGAGUCUCGGAGGGGUUGCUGGAAUUCGUGGUGUAGCGGUGAAAUGCGUAGAUAUCACGAGGAACACCAGAGGCGUAGGCGGGCAACUGGACGAGUACUGACGCUGAGGCACGAAAGCGUGGGGAGCAAACAGG